ACCUGCAGGUUUGUUUUUAUUCAAUUUUGCGAUAAAUUGCCAGUUACCAAAGCUAAAUAGUGCACUUCAUUGUACUCCAAAUUCGGCAGAAUUCACAUUUUCUGUUGAUUCCAAAUUUGAUCCCCAAAAUUCUUUAUUCUUUGCCAGUAGAACAAAAUUCCCACUUUCUGUUGUCCCAUUCCAACAUCGAUUCACAAAAUUGAAAAGAUAUUAUUGGGAAUUUGCUCUAUCAAUUAGUUUCAGCCCACGUGGAAAAUUUUGGCAAAGGAGAGAAGGCGGUGGGAUAAUUGCCUGGGUCGCUAUGGAAUUAUUCAAAUAGGGAUUCCAACAUGAUACUUCUCCUAAGGUAAGUGCACUAUUUUCAUGUUCGUCGUCUCAGUUGGUUUCUGUUACUGUACUUAAUUCCUCUGUAAUUCAAUUUAGAGAGUUAAGUGUAUUUUCUUGCAAUUUAUGGUAAAUUCUAUCUAUGGUGGCGUUAGUAAAUUAUCAGAUAGUAAAACGGAAAUAUUCUCUUUUUAUUAUCCCCAUAUGUAUUCUUUUUAUUGUGUUCAGAAUAUUAUUUCUGUUAACUUGAGUCGAAAGAUGAAUACUGAAGCUUGAUGUUAUGCUGAGUGCUUAGAUGCUUUCUCCGCUAUCGCUGGCUUGGAUUAGCAGGUUGGAUUUCUUAUUUUAUUUUACUUAGGAAUGUGUAUAAAACUGUAGAAUAUUGGUUGUGAAAUCAGAAAUUUAUUCA